UCUAAAUGAUUUCUUCAAACCAAUUUCGAAUGAGAUGGACCGCUUGAAAUCUUUCAAGAAGCACAAACAUGGUAGGAGGAUUAAACAACUUGAAAAAUUCGAGCAGAGAAUGAAGGAGGAGAGGCAAAAGAGAAUACGAGAGAGGCAAAAGGAGUUCUUUGGUGAGAUUGAAGUUCACAAGGAAAGACUUGAUGAUGUAUUUAAAGUUAAGA